rnacentral:lncRNA from 1 species
CCCUAGGGUAAGACCUGCAUCCUGUGCCUCACAGCCACCGUAAACAAGCUGCCUCAACGCUGCCACUUUCCACCCAGGGCCCCCGUGCAGGGGGUCAGCAUCUCCGGAACCAAAGACUCUCACUCAGCAAAUCCUGAGAUCCCGAGAUCCUGACACCCUGACACCUGUUGGAAAGGUUUGGAAGCAGCCAUGGAAGCUGUCACCAGUGUUUUAUGCUCAGAUCUGUGCUGAUGUCACACUUUGGACAGCCAAGGGGGCGGGAAGAUGAAGCAUAAAACCACCUUCAAGGACGUCCAAUGGUGUCUCCACCCAAAUUCCUGACCUCACCGACUUCCCCAAGCCUGUCUGUCCCCCGUGACCCCAGCCUGCCAGGAGCUCAGGCCCACAGCCGCAGAGCCGCCUUUAUUCUCCUCGGACACAGCACAGCGCGCCUGAGACCCCAACUGCGCUGCCUGGCUCUUCCAUCCAUGGUGCCGGGCCCGGCCUGGGAGGGGCUGCACAGGCCGAGCCGCAGCAUGAUGUCCCCUGCGCCCAGCACUUCUGCCAUGCGAGCCUUGAAAGGGCCUCCACCCCUGCAGCCUGCAUUCUGUGGAAGCCACGUGUUGCGUGAGGCCUUUCAUGCCUGGGAGAGGGAGGUUUGAAGAGCAGAAGCACUUAGGCAGGAGAAAAGACAAAUUAAUGAACGUGUCAAAUCCUGCUGUUCAGGUUACAGAAAAGCCAAUGAUUUCUGCAUAAAGAAGUAUCCGUUCCUGGCAGUGCCAGGUGCCCACUCUUGCGUUUCUUUGCACGUCGGCUCACAGCUCUAGAAGUACUCACGGACAAAUGUGGAGGCGCCCCGCAGCACCCCACAAUCCCUUUCACUUUUCCACGUCUGUCGAGACAGGACAUGCAUGACUCACGCAACCAGCUCAUGACAUCAGCAACUGCAGGGAUCUCAGAGCCAGAAUUGCAAAUGUCUUAUUCUUACAAAAAUAUGGACUACAAUUUGAUUAAAUUGUCACAAAAUACAAUUUAAAAUACAGCUCUAUUUAAAUACUUUUGAUUGAAAAUUUUGAUAUUUUGUGAAUUAUAUUUGGCUUUAGAAUUUUAAUAAUUCACAUUAAAUCUUUUUGAAGAAAAAUAGCUUUUGAAGCAUAGUUUUAGUUUACAAUUUU